rnacentral:misc_RNA from 1 species
GAGGGAAUAGUAGCGGAGGAAACUAGCGAGCCCACCUCCCCCCGUGUUUUCUGUCCCUUAGUUGCUUCGGCGGGCCCGCCCUUCAUGGCCGCCGGGGGCUCUCAGCCCCGGGCCCGCGCCCGCCGGAGACACCACGAACUCUGUCUGAUCUAGUGAAGUCUGAGUUGAUUGUAUCGCAAUCAGUUAAAACUUUCAACAAUGGAUCUCUUGGUUCCGGCAUCGAUGAAGAACGCAGCGAAAUGCGAUAACUAGUGUGAAUUGCAGAAUUCCGUGAAUCAUCGAGUCUUUGAACGCACAUUGCGCCCCCUGGUAUUCCGGGGGGCAUGCCUGUCCGAGCGUCAUUGCUGCCCAUCAAGCACGGCUUGUGUGUUGGGUCGUCGUCCCCUCUCCGGGGGGGACGGGCCCCAAAGGCAGCGGCGGCACCGCGUCCGAUCCUCGAGCGUAUGGGGCUUUGUCACCCGCUCUGUAGGCCCGGCCGGCGCUUGCCGAACGCAAAUCAAUCUUUUUCCAGGUUGACCUCGGAUCAGGUAGGGAUACCCGCUGAACUUAAGCAUAUCAAUAAGCCGGAGGAAAAAAAAAAAACAAAAACCGGCCU